GACGAACGCUGGCGGCGUGCUUAACACAUGCAAGUCGAACGAAGUGGCGAACGGGUGAGUAACGCGUAAUCAACCUGCCCUUCAGAGGGGGACAACAGUUGGAAACGACUGCUAAUACCGCAUACUGAAGGAGGGGAUUGCGUUUGAUUAGCUAGUUGGGGGGGUAACGGCCCACCAAGGCGAUGAUCAGUAGCCGGUCUUAGAGGAUGAACCGCCACAUUUGGACUGAGACACGGCCCAUACUCCUACGGGAGGCAGCAGUGGGGAAUCUUCCGCAAUGGACGAAAGUCUGACGGAGCAACGCCGCGGUAGUGAUGACGGCCUUCGGGUUGUAAAGCUCUGUUAAGCGGGACGCGGUACCGGAAUAGAAAGCCACGGCUAACUACGUGCCAGCAGCCGCGGUAAUUC
rnacentral:rRNA from 1 species